rnacentral:pre_miRNA from 1 species
AAUAAACCAAUUUUUUAUUUUUUACAGAUAAUUUUGAUUCUUUGUCUUAUUUAAAUUUUUUUGUAAUUAAUAUUUUUACUGUUAUUAGACGAUAAAUCAUAAAUAAAUAGUAUUUUACAUGUGACUAAUUUUUUUUAGCUUCCUGAAAAAGUUUCAAAUAAAACGGACGGUCGAACACGGAAACCGGAG